CGGCACGCCUACACAUGCAAGUCGAGCGAGCCUUCGGGCAAGCGGCGGACGGGUUAGUAACGCGUGGGAACGUACCCUUCUCUAAGGAAUAGCCUCGGGAAACUGAGAGUAAUACCUUAUACGCCCUUUGGGGGAAAGAUUUAUCGGGGAAGGAUCGGCCCGCGUCUGAUUAGAUAGUUGGUGGGGUAAUGGCCUACCAAGUCUACGAUCAGUAGCUGGUUUGAGAGGAUGAUCAGCAACACUGGGACUGAGACACGGUCCAGACUCCUACGGGAGGCAGCAGUGGGGAAUCUUAGACAAUGGGCGCAAGCCUGAUCCAGCAAUGCCGCGUGAGUGAUGAAGGCCUUAGGGUUGUAAAGCUCUUUUACCCGGGAUGAUAAUGACAGUACCGGGAGAAUAAGCUCCGGCUACUCCGUGCCAGCAGCCGCGGUAAU
rnacentral:rRNA from 1 species